rnacentral:rRNA from 1 species
GAUCUCCGCCCUACUUGGAUAUGUGCUGCAAUUCAGGACUUAAUACAUGCAAUCGAGCCCCGACUUCACAGGACGGGCGCAUUUAUUAGAACAAAACCAAUCAGUCUUUGACUGUCUACUGGUGAAUCUGAAUAACUUCGCAGAUCGCUUCGGUUUCACACCGGCGACGUAUCCUUCAAGUGUCUGCCUUAUCAACUUUCGAUGGUAGUUUCUACGCCUACCAUGGUUUCGACGGGUAACGGAGAAUUAGGGUUCGACUCCGGAGAGGGAGCCUGAGAAACGGCUACCACUUCUAAGGAAGGCAGCAGGCGCGCAAAUUACCCACUCUCGGCACGAGGAGGUAGUGACGAAAAAUAACGAGAUAACCCGCUUUAGCGAGUUAUCAUCGGAAUGAGUACAAUUUAAAUCCUUUAACGAGGACCUAGCGGAGGGCAAGUCUGGUGCCAGCAGCCGCGGUAAUUCCAGCUCCGCCAGUGUAUAUCUAUGCUGCUGCGGUUAAAAAGCUCGUAGUUGGAUCUUCGUGGUGUUCCCGGUCCACCUGUUUAGGUGUGCACUGA